rnacentral:rRNA from 1 species
CGGUAAUUCCAGCUCCAAUAGCGUAUACUAAAGUUGUUGCAGUUAAAAAGCUCGUAGUUGGAUUUCUGCGGGGACGGAGCGGCCGGUCGCAACUUGCGACUCGAGCUAGCGCUUUCCCCGCAUCCUGCCGCGAACCGUGCUACCAUUAGUUUGGUGGCGCUGGGGAUCGGCUCGAUUACUUUGAGAAAAAUAGAGUGUUCAAAGCAGGCCACACGCCUUGAAUAAGUUAGCAUGGAAUAAUGACUAAGGACUUUGGUUCUUUUCGUUGGUGUUCGGGACUGAAGUAAUGAUUGAUAGGGACAGUUGGGGCGGUCCGUAUUCCAAAGCGAGAGGUGAAAUUCUUAGACCUUCGGAAGACGAACAGCUGCGAAAGCGUUCCGCAAGGAUGUUCCCUUUGAUCAAGAACGAAAGUUGGGGGAUCGAAGACGAUCAGAUACCGUCGUAGUCUCAACUAUAAACUAUACCAGCUAGGGAUCGGCCAACGUUUAAUUUAUCGACUUGGUCGGCACCUUAUGAGAAAUCAAAGCAUCUGGGUUCCGGGGGGAGUAUGGUCGCAAGGCUGAAACUUAAAGGAAUUGACGGAAGGGCACCACCAGCCGUGGAGCCUGUGGCUUAAUUUGACUCAACACGGGAAAACUUACCAGGUCCGGACAUAGUAAGGAUUGACAGAUUGAUAGCUCUUUCUUGAUUCUGUGGGUGGUGGUGCAUGGCCGUUUUUAGUCGGUGGAUGUGAUCUGUCUGCUUAAUUGCGUUAACGGACGAGACCCCAGCCUGCUAAAUAGCGCGGCCGAGCUUUGCUCGGUGCGAGCUUCUUAGAGGGACCAUGAUGCGCGAUAGCACAAGGAAGUUUGGGGCAACAACAGGUCUGUGAUGCCCUUAGAUGUUCUGGGCCGCACACGGGCUACACUGGCGCCUGCAACGAGCAUAUCAGCUGGCCCGAGAGGGUCUUGGCUAAUCUUUGGAACCGGCGCCGUGCUUGGGAUUGACCAUUGCAAUUGUUGGUCAUGCAACGAGGAAUGCCUUGUAAACGCGAGUCAUCAGCUCGCAUUGAAUACGUCCCUGCCCCUUGUACACACCGCCC